UACGAAGGGGGCUAGCGCUGCUCGGAAUCACUGGGCGUAAAGGGUGCGUAGGCGGGUCUUUAAGUCAGGGGUGAAAUCCUGGAGCUCAACUCCAGAACUGCCUUUGAUACUGAGGAUCUUGAGUUCGGGAGAGGUGAGUGGAACUGCGAGUGUAGAGGUGAAAUUCGUAGAUAUUCGCAAGAACACCAGUGGCGAAGGCGGCUCACUGGCCCGAUACUGACACUGAGGAGCGAAAGCGUGGGGAGCAAACAGG
rnacentral:rRNA from 1 species